rnacentral:rRNA from 1 species
GACGAACGCUGGCGGCGUGCUUAACACAUGCAAGUCGAACGGAAAGGCCCUGCUUUUGUGGGGUGCUCGAGUGGCGAACGGGUGAGUAACACGUGAGUAACCUGCCCUUGACUUUGGGAUAACUUCAGGAGACUGGGGCUAAUACCGGAUAGGAGCUCCUGCUGCAUGGUGGGGGUUGGAAAGCUUCGGCGGUUGGGGGUGGACUCGCGGCUUAUCAGCUUGUUGGUGGGGUAGUGGCUUACCAAGGCUUUGACGGGUAGCCGGCCUGAGAGGGUGACCGGCCACAUUGGGACUGAGAUAGGGCCCAGACUCCUACGGGAGGCAGCAGUGGGGAAUAUUGCACAAUGGGCGGAAGCCUGAUGCAGCAACGCCGCGUGCGGGAUGACGGCAUUCGGGUUGUAAUCCGCUUUCCUCUGUGACGAAGCGUGAGUGACGGUAAUGGGCAAAGAAGGACCGGCUAACUACGUG